AAUCAACGCUGGCGGCGUGCCUAACACAUGCAAGUCGAACGCGAAAGCCCCUUCGGGGGUAAGUAGAGUGGCGUCCGGGUGAGUAACACGUAGGUAAUCUACCUUCGGGUGGGGAAGUAACCAGUCGAAAGAUUGGCUAAUACCGCAUAAUGCAGCGGCACCUAAUGGUGAUUAGUUGUUAAAGCGGGGGAGUCGUAAGACCUCGCGCCUGAAGAGGAGCCUGCGGCAGAUUAGCUAGUUGGGAGGUA
rnacentral:rRNA from 1 species